AAGAAAGUGAUAGAUUGGCUAUAUGGUCGACUUGAAAUCGGCUUAAGGGGGUUCGAUUCCUUCCUUUCUUG
rnacentral:tRNA from 1 species